rnacentral:misc_RNA from 1 species
GAAAUGCGAUAAGUAGUGUGAAUUGCAGAAUUCAGUGAAUCAUCGAAUCUUUGAACGCACAUUGCGCCCUUUGGUAUUCCUUAGGGCAUGCCUGUUCGAGCGUCAUCUAAAACCCUCAAGCACUGCUUGGUGUUGGGCGUUUGUCCCGCCUCGGGCGCGGACUCGCCUCAAAAACAUUGGCGGCCUGUGUAAUUGGCUUCGAGCGCAGCAGACUCGCGCCUCGCGAACCUCUAGCACGGGUGUCCAUCAAGACGAAACCCCAAGUUUGACCUCGGAUCAGGUAGGGAUACCCGCUGAACUUAA